UGUGUGCUGUUGGACUGGGAGAAGCACCUCCACCUGACCCUUCUACUCGUUUCCUGCCAAUGCUGUCGAACGGAGGAGAACAGAUUGGUGGCUGUGUGUAACCAUGACAACCGAAACACAGCUCAGCUCCUCCCAGCCACCCCCUGCUGUGAGGCAGAAUGCCCUCCUAUUGGAUGGGACCAGAAGCUGCACUGGCAGGGACCACACAUAAAAACAGUGUAGCUCAGACAACCACUGUGGAUAGAGCAUCUCUGAAAUGCACAAUGAUGUACUCUACGGCUGCAAUGCUUUUGAAAUAACAGCACUUGCAUCAUCCUGCACCAGCUGUAAAAUCACAUCCUCUGAGCAGAGAAGACUCUUGGUUCUCGUAGUCUGCUAAACGACACGCUGCCUUGAUGUCUAAAACGUUUCCGCCGCUCACAGAGACGUUCAGCGAAUCCAACCCCAAGGACCUGCUUACAUAAAUCAAAAAAGCGUGAGGCGGCCUUUCAAGGCUUUCUAAAGCUGGUGUCACACCCUUAUCCUCCGGCCCCACAUCUCGCACGGGAGACGCAAAGCUGGAGUCAGGUUGAUCGAUUGAUUUAUGGUGUCCUGACCUCAGAGGCCCAGCUGACCUCCCGGGCUUAAAUAAUGCAUUCCCUCAGGAAGUAUCCGCCCACUGUGACCUGAGAGUGAGAAGAAAGAAUGAUGAUGAUGAUGAAAGAAUCAUUAAUGAUUUAAAAAAAUGGUCACAAUGAUAAUCACACCAAGAGAAAAGAAUACAAUAGUAUUAUUGGGUUGAUGUUGUUUUCUGAUGUGUUCAAUGUGAACAGGCCUGGAACUAGAAGUCUCACAAUAUGCGAUUAGUCAAUAAUGAUACGCCUUAUUUGUGUGUGCAUGUGAUGUCUGUGUUAAUAUCACUAUGUGUGUGGAUGUGGACGUGAACAUGCAUAGUAUCACUCUACAUAAUUCUACAUCAUUCAACAUACAGGUCUUAAGUUGUUCACUCAUGUCCCAUCCACUAAGCAAUCGUAACAGAUUGUUAAAAUGCAACACUUCAACAUUUCAAUGAUUGUUGUUCAAUGAUUGUUGUAAACACAGUGAGCUUCAUGAUGUUUGUGACAAAGACAUUAUCUCGAUUUGGCUCUGUACUCAAAACAUUAUGGAGCGCACUGAAUAUUUACUGUGCAGCAGGGUCUGUCUGAAACCAUAGGUUACUCAACCUCUAUAAAUAGAUUUGAGAUGGUCAAUAAAAAUCAAUAAUUGCUUUAGAACAUACAUUAUUAGAUUGUUUUGCCAUGUUCAGAUAUUUUUGUCCUAAAAAUAUAGUGUUGCACUGUGUAUGAUGAAGCUAGCAUACAGAGCAGUGACAGUACAUGAUACGAAAAAGAGAAUUUAAAGACACUGCCAUAUACAGUAGUUGUUUAAAAAUUACCUGAACUUUCUAUAUAAAGCUGAAAUCAUUUACAAAAUCUGGGUGGACAGACUAAAAUCUGAGGGUUGGGGAGAUAGUGUUCUAUAAGGUAUAGAGAGACAGGUGGUGUUGUUCAAAAACCUGAGGAUAGCAUCAAAGAAUUACUGGGCUUUUUAUGAAUAAGCCUAAUAUGUGAAUGCUGCUGCUCUCCAUGGUUCUGAAGAACCUUAAAGUUUGGGCAGCAUCAAUAAACUCUGAUGUCAUCCCCUAGCCUCGCUGCAGACUUACCUUUAAUUAACUUGAAUAUCUGGCAGACAUUGAUCAAUUCCAUUUUUGCAAUACUUGUUCUGCCUUGUUAAAAUAAACACAAAUUUAGGAGAUACUUCUGAAAUAGCAUGACCUUCAUAUAAAGUGUCUCAAAUUCUCUCCAUAAACUUCUUGAUCCCAAUGACAAAUGGCUUUGUCUUGUCUCCGGCUUUAUAAAAUGUUUAUUAUGACUGCCUUGUUCAAUGACAGUUCACUUCAGGGGAUUAAUAUUUUUUUUAUAUCUGAACUGCUGUUCCUCCAGUUGUAUUCUGU